CACGUAGGGUGCGAGCGUUGUCCGGAAUUAUUGGGCGUAAAGAGCUCGUAGGCGGUGUGUCGCGUCGGCCGUGAAAACCUGCAGCUUAACUGUGGGCGUGCGGUCGAUACGGGCAUCACUGGAGUUCGGCAGGGGAGACUGGAAUUCCUGGUGUAGCGGUGAAAUGCGCAGAUAUCAGGAGGAACACCGGUGGCGAAGGCGCCACUCUGGGCCGAAACUGACGCUGAGGAGCGAAAGCGUGGGUAGCAAACAGG
rnacentral:rRNA from 1 species